CUUUCACAGCAGGCUUCGUUUUGUAGCAUUCUGGUAUCUAAUACUCGUAUGUGAUGACGCUAUGCGCUGCGCUUCUCACAUGGCUUUGACGAGGGAUACAAUUACCAACCGAGCAUGCACUAACGCAGAUUUACUCUGCAGUUAUGACUGACCCAGAUCGAAUAAGCCCACGCAUUAACGACGAGAGCUGAUGAGCGCGGGCGGCCUGGAUGUGGCUUCUACUCUGUUUCCCACGCCCAGCUAGUUUGCAGUUACUACAAGCAUUCUAAAGUAAGCCGCCUCCUGUUAUCUGCAAAAGGUGCUUGCAGCUGGAGAACCUUCUCUUUACAGGGACUUAAUCAUGCUCGUAUAACAGCGGAAUACUUGCUCCGCUGUUACCAACGUGUCACUCUGAAGAUUAAUUCAUCGUGAUCUAUUAGGAGAGAGCGUACAGGCUGGUUCUUGCCAGAGAGCGGCACACGGCAGCGGCAAGCAUUUCCCGUUGGCCUCGCUUUUUCUGUGGUGAUGCGGGGUCACAGAAUUGGAGUUUCUACCUAGAACUACACCACCUGGACUACAGGCCUGCGCGCAUACUUGUGACGUCACAUACUGAUGACCGCUCUGUAGCAGCGUUCCUCUUCUACAUAGCCUUGUAAAGAAAGUAUGGGUAUUUAUAUCAUUGCAUAAAGUAACUGAACAAAACUGCCCUAUAUUAUAUGAGCAUGUAAAAUUGUUUUGACGAUUUACCUUAAAUGCCCAUUUCUAGGCUUGAAGACAACUUGUAAUUUUUAGUUAUGUUUUUUGUCUAAAGAACUAAUUUGUAAUAUGCAACAACAAGCAGACUUUUUCGGUUUUAAAUAAAGCAGCUGGAGCUCCUACAGAGUAUAAUAAUUUGUUUCCCUGGUUAUUGUCAUAAAUUUUCCUCUCCACUUCAAAAUUUACUGAACUCUCACGAAACUCAAAUCAUUCGAUGGAAUGGAGCACCUCUUGAUAUAAUGUUUAAUAAAUCAAAAAACAUGAAAAAUAUUUUAUUUCCCUGUUUCUCCAGAACUUUAGGGGCCUUAAACAUGGAAAGAUUGUUUCACCUAUAUUCUCGACUGAAGUUAGUGUCAGAGUACUAUUA